UACAUUGUUACAUUUCUUUCCUGCCCCUAUUAGUGAAGCCCAUGGAUUUGGGACUGAGCUCCCAGCUCCUGGCCCGCAGCACCAGGUUAAAGCUUUCCUCCUUGGCAGUACUUGUGGCCUCAGUGACUGACUUUUUCUCUGAUGAGCAGGAGGACCUCGACAAAACCCCUGGUGUUUGGGAAGCCAUCAUUCUUUAGAGGGCAGUGAGCAAACAGUACCAGCAGAAAUUGAAGUACCAGCAGAAGGCUAAGAAGGGAUCAUGGCACAAGUUGCAGUUUCCACCCUGCCCACUGAAGAUGAGGAGUCCAUGGAAGAUGAGUCUGUCUAAGACGAGGAGUCCGUUGAAGAUGAGGAGUCUGUUGAAGAUGAGUCCGCAGAGAGCAGGAUGGUGGUGACAUUGCUCAUAUCAGCUCUCGAGUCCAUGGGAGCUUAUAGCUUCAUUGCACCAUGUGUGGCAUUUGGGUCCUGUUUGGCAGCAAUGACUGCCUUUCUGUUUAGUGUCUGUGUGCUAUGAAGAUUGCACACAGGGGUCCAGAUGCAUUCUGUUUUGAGAAUGUCAAUGGAUACACCAGCUGCUGCUUUGGAUUUCACCGGUUGGUGGUAGUUGACCCGCUGUUUGGAAUGCAGCCAGUUUAAGUGAAGAAAUAUCCAUAUAUGUGGCUCUGUUACAGUGGUGAAAUCUACAACCAUAAGAAGGUGCAACACUAUUUUGAAUUUGAAUACCAGAUCAAAGUGGAUGGUGAGAUAAUCCUUCAUCUUUAUGACAAAGGAGGAAUUGAGCAAACAAUUUGUAUGUUGGAUGGUGUGUUUGCGUUUGUUUUUCUGGAUUCUGUCAAUAAGAAAGUGUUCCUGGGCAGAGAUACAUAAGGAGUCAGACCUUUGUUUAAAGCAGUGACAGAAGAUGGAUUUUUGGCUGUAUGUUCAAAAGCUAAAGGUAAUAGUAAAUUUAUCUAUAGAUUGUCUUUAUUGUCUUGGUCGUGUGUUUUCUUUUAAAUUCUAUUUGAAAAUCUCUUAGCAAUCCAGAAUUUUACAAGUGACUAAUUAAGUCAUGAGUUCUUACCUUUUUUAAAAAAACAGAGGAGUUGUACUCUCCUUUUCAGCACUUAAAUUCUGUAAUCCUUGAAGGAUGGGUCUUUAGUGUAGUCAUUUAUUUUUUGCUGUGCUAACAUGCUCUGCAUCUAGCUUGAUCGCAAGUGCAGUUUUAAGUUUUCCUGUGUCAUACUGUAAUGGUAGGGUUGGCUCUGCAAUUAUUGCCCUGUGGUACUUUGUCACAGUUAUAGCACAGCAAAUACUAGGAUUUCUAAAACAGCUUUAUUGGUAAUUCACAUACCAUGUAAUUCACCUACUCAAAGUAUACAGUUCAGUGGUUUUAGCAUAUUCACAGAUGUUGGUAACCAACAUUCCAAUCAAUUUUAGAAUUGUUUCUCCACCUCAAAAAAAAACAAAUAAAAUCCUAUGCCCUUUACCUUAUUUUAUUUAUUUUUAUUUAUUUAUUUAUUUAUUUAUUUAUUUAUUUAUUUAAGAGAUGGGGUCUUGUUCAGUCGACCAGCCCAGGCUGGAAUGCAGUGGUGUAAUCAUA